rnacentral:rRNA from 1 species
UAGGGAAUCUUCCGCAAUGGACGAAAGUCUGACGGAGCAACGCCGCGUGAGUGAAGAAGGAUUUCGGUUCGUAAAACUCUGUUGUUAGGGAAGAAAAAAUGUAUAGUAACUAUAUACAAAAGAGACGGUACCUAACCAGAAAGCCACGGCUAACUACGUGCCAGCAGCCGCGGUAAUACGUAGGUGGAAAGCGUUGUCCGGAAUUAUUGGGCGUAAAGCGCGCGCAGGUGGUUUAGAAAGUCUGAUGUGAAAGCCCACGGCUCAACCGUGGAGGGUCAUUGGAAACUAAUAAACUUAAGUUCAGGAGAGAAAAGUGGAAUUCCUAGUGUAGCGGUGAAAUGCGUAGAGAUUAGGAGGAACACCGGUGGCGAAAGCGGCUUUUUGGCCUGCAACUGACACUGAGGCGCGAAAGCGGGGGGAGCAAACAGG